rnacentral:rRNA from 1 species
UCGAGCGGAACGAGAAGUAGCUUGCUACUUCGGCGUCGAGCGGCGGACGGGUGAGUAAUGCAUAGGAAGUUGCCCAGUAGAGGGGGAUAACCAUUGGAAACGAUGGCUAAUACCGCAUAACCUCUUCGGAGCAAAGCGGGGGACCUUCGGGCCUCGCGCUACUGGAUACGCCUAUGUGGGAUUAGCUAGUUGGUGAGGUAAUGGCUCACCAAGGCGACGAUCCCUAGCUGGUCUGAGAGGAUGAUCAGCCACACUGGGACUGAGACACGGCCCAGACUCCUACGGGAGGCAGCAGUGGGGAAUAUUGCACAAUGGGCGAAAGCCUGAUGCAGCCAUGCCGCGUGUAUGAAGAAGGCCUUCGGGUUGUAAAGUACUUUCAGUUGUGAGGAAGGGUGUGUAGUUAAUAACUGCGCAUUUUGACGUUAGCAACAGAAGAAGCACCGGCUAACUCCGUGCCAGCAGCCGCGGUAAUACGGAGGGUGCGAGCGUUAAUCGGAAUUACUGGGCGUAAAGCGCAUGCAGGUGGUUUGUUAAGUCAGAUGUGAAAGCCCGGGGCUCAACCUCGGAAGGUCAUUUGAAACUGGCAAACUAGAGUACUGUAGAGGGGGGUAGAAUUUCAGGUGUAGCGGUGAAAUGCGUAGAGAUCUGAAGGAAUACCAGUGGCGAAGGCGGCCCCCUGGACAGAUACUGACACUCAGAUGCGAAAGCGUGGGGAGCAAACAGGAUUAGAUACCCUGGUAGUCCACGCCGUAAACGAUGUCUACUUGGAGGUUGUGGCCUUGAGCCGUGGCUUUCGGAGCUAACGCGUUAAGUAGACCGCCUGGGGAGUACGGUCGCAAGAUUAAAACUCAAAUGAAUUGACGGGGGCCCGCACAAGCGGUGGAGCAUGUGGUUUAAUUCGAUGCAACGCGAAGAACCUUACCUACUCUUGACAUCCAGAGAACUUUCCAGAGAUGGAUUGGUGCCUUCGGGAACUCUGAGACAGGUGCUGCAUGGCUGUCGUCAGCUCGUGUUGUGAAAUGUUGGGUUAAGUCCCGCAACGAGCGCAACCCUUAUCCUUGUUUGCCAGCGAGUAAUGUCGGGAACUCCAGGGAGACUGCCGGUGAUAANCCGGAAGAAAGG